rnacentral:rRNA from 1 species
GAUGAACGCUGGCGGCGUGCCUAAUACAUGCAAGUCGAGCGAACAGACGAGGAGCUUGCUCCUCUGACGUUAGCGGCGGACGGGUGAGUAACACGUGGAUAACCUACCUAUAAGACUGGGAUAACUUCGGGAAACCGGAGCUAAUACCGGAUAAUAUAUUGAACCGCAUGGUUCAAUAGUGAAAGACGGUUUUGCUGUCACUUAUAGAUGGAUCCGCGCCGCAUUAGCUAGUUGGUAAGGUAACGGCUUACCAAGGCAACGAUGCGUAGCCGACCUGAGAGGGUGAUCGGCCACACUGGUACUGAGACACGGUCCAGACUCCUACGGGAGGCAGCAGUAGGGAAUCUUCCGCAAUGGGCGAAAGCCUGACGGAGCAACGCCGCGUGAGUGAUGAAGGUCUUCGGAUCGUAAAACUCUGUUAUUAGGGAAGAACAAAUGUGUAAGUAACUAUGCACGUCUUGACGGCACCUAAUCAGAAAGCCACGGCUAACUACGUG